rnacentral:rRNA from 1 species
CGGCGGACGGGUGGGUAAUGUAUGGGGAUCUGCCUGAUGGCGGGGGAUAACACUGGAAACGGUAGCUAAUACCGCAUAAUGUCUACGGACCAAAGCGGGGGACCUCCGGGCCUCGCGCCAUCAGAUGAACCCAUAUGGGAUUAGCUAGUAGGUAAGGUAACGGCUUACCUAGGCGACGAUCCCUAGCUGGUCUGAGAGGAUGAUCAGCCACACUGGGACUGAGACACGGCCCAG